rnacentral:rRNA from 1 species
UACGAAGGGGGCUAGCGUUGCUCGGAAUCACUGGGCGUAAAGCGCGCGUAGGCGGAUCGUUAAGUCGGGGGCGAAAUCCUGGAGCUCAACUCCAGAACUGCCUUUGAUACUGGCGAUCUUGAGUCCGGGAGAGGUGAGUGGAACUCCGAGUGUAGAGGUGAAAUUCGUAGAUAUUCGGAAGAACACCAGUGGCGAAGGCGGCUCACUGGCCCGGUACUGACGCUGAGGUGCGAAAGCGUGGGGAGCAAACAGG